rnacentral:rRNA from 1 species
UGGGGAAUAUUGGACAAUGGGCGCAAGCCUGAUCCAGCCAUGCCGCGUGAGUGAUGAAGGCCCUAGGGUUGUAAAGCCUUUUCACCGGUGAAGAUAAUGACGGUAACCGGAGAAGAAGCCCCGGCUAACUUCGUGCCAGCAGCCGCGGUAAUACGAAGGGGGCUAGCGUUGUUCGGAUUUACUGGGCGUAAAGCGCACGUAGGCGGACUUUUAAGUCAGGGGUGAAAUCCCGGGGCUCAACCCCGGAACUGCCUUUGAUACUGGAAGUCUUGAGUAUGGUAGAGGUGAGUGGAAUUCCGGGGGUAGAGGUGAAAUUCGUAGAUAUUCGGAGGAACACCAGUGGCGAAGGCGGCUCACUGGACCAUUACUGACGCUGAGGUGCGAAAGCGUGGGGAGCAAACAGG